UACGUAGGUGGCAAGCGUUGUCCGGAUUUACUGGGCGUAAAGAGCGCGCAGGCGGUCGUUCAAGUCGCGUGUGAAAGCCCCCGGCUCAACUGGGGAGGGUCACGCGAUACUGAUCGACUCGAAGGCAGGAGAGGGUAGUGGAAUUCCCGGUGUAGUGGUGAAAUGCGUAGAUAUCGGGAGGAACACCAGUGGCGAAGGCGGCCUGCUGGGCUCUUGCUGACACUGAUGCGCGACAGCGUGGGGAGCAAACAGG
rnacentral:rRNA from 1 species